rnacentral:lncRNA from 1 species
UCAUACUAAAAAUGCACAUCAAAAUUUUCACAUCACACCACAAGACUUUAGUCAAGAGAACUAAGAAAAAUACUCAUAAUUAUAACUCAAAAACCAAAGGAAAAAACAUGCAAUUUUUUAUUUAUUUAUUUAAGAAAGAAAGCAAAAAGUAAAAUAGAGGAAAGCUGGAAACAAAACAAACAAAACAAAAAUAAAUAAAUGAUUCUCUCCCCAUACUUAAAACAUACAUUAUCUUCAA